rnacentral:rRNA from 1 species
GAUGAACGCUGGCGGCGUGCCUAACACAUGCAAGUCGAGCGAUUCCUUCGGGGAGAGCGGCGGACGGGUGAGUAACGCGUGGGUAACCUGCCCUGUACACACGGAUAACAUACCGAAAGGUAUGCUAAUACGGGAUAAUAUAUGAAAGUUGCAUAACUUUUAUAUCGAAGCUUUUGCGGUACAGGAUGGACCCGCGUCUGAUUAGCUAGUUGGUAAGGUAACGGCUUACCAAGGCAACGAUCAGUAGCCGACCUGAGAGGGUGAUCGGACACACUGGAACUGAGACACGGUCCAGACUCCUACGGGAGGCAGCAGUGGGGAAUAUUGCACAAUGGGCGAAAGCCUGAUGCAGCAACGCCGCGUGAGCGAUGAAGGCCUUCGGGUCGUAAAGCUCUGUCCUCAAGGAAGAUAAUGACGGUACUUGAGGAGGAAGCCCCGGCUAACUACGUGCCAGCAGCCGCU